rnacentral:rRNA from 1 species
UACGAAGGGGGCUAGCGUUGCUCGGAAUGACUGGGCGUAAAGGGCGCGUAGGCGGCUUGCACAGUCAGGCGUGAAAUUCCUGGGCUCAACCUGGGGACUGCGCUUGAGACGUGUGGGCUUGAGUGGGGAAGAGGGUCGUGGAAUUCCCAGUGUAGAGGUGAAAUUCGUAGAUAUUCGCAAGAACACCAGUGGCGAAGGCGGCUCACUGGUCCGGUACUGACGCUGAGGUGCGAAAGCGUGGGGAGCAAACAGG